GAUCAGUUCACAAUUGUAUAUCAUUUUGUACCCUUCUAGCUUAUGAUUUGGUUAUGUUAUUGAGUCAAACGUGUGCUUUUAAUCCCUUUUCUGUUUAUCAUUCAGUUCAUUGGGCCUUAGGUAGCAAUGGUGUCUUUGGAUAAGAAAAGAUGCAAAAUGGUGCAAAAACGAGCAGACUGGGUUAGCAACUCAUUUCGGCCUUAACAUCUUUCUCCGAACUUGGAUUGGCCCAAAUAAUAUGUAGUUGGAAAGAUGGGAGUCUGAACUUCAAGAUGGACUACUCAAAUGCAUCAGAUAAUGAAGUUGAGCCCAAUUCGUGAGCCCAUAUACACACCAGGCUCAGGAUUGCAGUUUCCAGUUGUUGAGCCUUGGAUACUUUCUUUGAGCCUUGGAUACUUUCUUUGAGCCAUGUGACUCACCACAGCUUUCCUUGACUUUAGACCUGACAUGUUGAGCAAUUUAGGGAGGUGUGUCAGCUACUCAAGUGCAAUUGGAUACUUUCUUUGAGCCAUGUGACUCACCACAGCUUUCCUUGACUUUAGACCUGACAUGUUGAGCAAUUUAGGGAGGUGUGUCAGCUACUCAAGUGCAAAGGACUCACUCCAUUGACCAAGAAUUCACUCCAGCCAUCCUAUAUCACUUGAUUCAGCCCAAAAUCAUGGGGGAGAACUCCAACAAGCCUUCCUUCCAGUUCCUACAAAUUUGUUCUUUCUCUGCCAUCACCAACCACCGAAACUCAUCCCAAAUCACCUCUUUAGUUGCCAUACUCUAGACAUGAGAAAGUUCUUGGAGUAGCAUUAGACGUGGAGAAGCACCUGGAGAAGCCUUGGAAACCACAAGCAACUUCAGAAUUGGGUUUCUCUACUCUUAUUGCAUUCAAUAUGUUUUCUCAUUUUUGCUUAAGUUUCAUUUCCAUUAUGAGUAGCUAAAUUCAUAACUAGGGCUAUGAUGUAACCUAACAUGAAUAUUCUGGGUUUAUAAGUUGAAGUUUUGAGUUUCAAGUUUGAUUCAUGAUUCAUAUUCCUAUUCUUUAUGCUUAUCAGUU
rnacentral:lncRNA from 1 species